UCAAGCCAGUGAUGAGCCAAGUUAUCCCUGUCUGAACCUUCUGUGGAGUCCUGGUAACCUGAGGCUUGA